rnacentral:rRNA from 1 species
GAUGAGCAUGCGUCCCAUUAGCUAGUUGGUAAGGUAACGGCUUACCAAGGCUACGAUGGGUAGGGGUCCUGAGAGGGAGAUCCCCCACACUGGAACUGAGACACGGUCCAGACUCCUACGGGAGGCAGCAGUGGGGAAUCUUGCGCAAUGGGCGAAAGCCUGACGCAGCGACGCCGCGUGAGUGAUGAAGGCCCUCGGGUUGUAAAGCUCUGUGGAGGGGGACGAAUAAGUCGGAACGAAUAGCUCCGAUGAUGACGGUACCCCUUUAGCAAGCACCGGCUAACUCUGUGCCAGCAGCCGCGGUAAGACAGAGGGUGCAAACGUUGUUCGGAAUUACUGGGCGUAAAGCGCGUGUAGGCUGCUCGGAAAGUCGGAUGUGAAAGCCCUGGGCUCAACCCAGGAAGUGCAUUCGAAACUUCUGAGCUCGAGUGUCGGAGAGGAAGGCGGAAUUCUCGGUGUAGAGGUGAAAUUCGUAGAUAUCGAGAGGAACACCUGUGGCGAAGGCGGCCUUCUGGACGACAACUGACGCUGAGACGCGAAAGCGUGGGGAGCAAACAGGAUUAGAUACCCUGGUAGUCCACGCCGUAAGCGAUGGGUGCUAGGUGUCGCGGGAUUUGACCCCUGCGGUGCCGUAGCUAACGCAUUAAGUGUCCCGCCUGGGGAGUACGGC